UGAGGAAGUAAAAGUCGUAACAAGGUUUCCGUAGGUGAACCUGCGGAAGGAUCAUUACUGAGAGAGGGGCUUCGCGCUCCCGGGGGUCUCGGCCCCCAACUCUUCACCCUGUGUGUACCUACCUUUGUUGCUUUGGCGGGCCUCGGGGGUCUCCCUCCGCGUCGGCUUUCGGGUCGAUGAGCGUCCGUCAGAGACCCAUUUACAUUCUGUUUAUCAGUGUCGUCCGAGUACAAAAUGAAUAAAUAAAAACUUUCAACAACGGAUCUCUUGGUUCCAGCAUCGAUGAAGAACGCAGCGAAAUGCGAUAAGUAAUGUGAAUUGCAGAAUUCAGUGAAUCAUCGAAUCUUUGAACGCACAUUGCGCCCCUCGGUAUUCCGGGGGGCAUGCCUGUUCGAGCGUCAUUACACCUCUCAAGCUUCGCUUGGUAUUGGGUAAUUCGCCCUCGAGGCGUACCCGAAAAGCAGUGGCGGUCCGGCGUGACUUUAAGCGUAGUAAAUUACCAUCCCGCUUUGAAAGUUCGCGUUGUGGCUCGCCAGACAACCGCCAUAUAGAUUGUUUACCCGUUCUAUAAGCUUCCAAUAAUUGACCUCGGAUCAGGUAGGGAUACCCGCUGAACUUAAGCAUAUCAAUAAGCGGAGGAA
rnacentral:rRNA from 1 species